GCAGGUAAGCGCAAGGUGCGCGGCCAGCCUUCCAAGCUGUGCACAUAGGGUUCGAUUCCCUAUAUCUGCUCCA
rnacentral:tRNA from 1 species